UGCUUAGACGGGCUUUCACAAGCCCCAUAAACAC
rnacentral:tRNA from 1 species